GAGGUAUUAGUAAAGUCUUACGUAACUUUGUCAAAGUUAAAUCACAAGUGAAAACCCUGUAUAUCUCC
rnacentral:tRNA from 1 species